rnacentral:lncRNA from 1 species
AUGAGGAUGGGGAGCUUAAGGAGACACAGAGACAGGAGAGCUCUGGGACACAUCAUGCUUUAUUGUGCUGGAGCACAGCCUCAUGGAGCAGCAGUGGGGGAGCAGCAGUGGUGUCCCUCAGGGGUGGGGGCACACAGAGGGUCUCAGCAAGAUGCCCUGGGGAGUGCAGAGCUCUGUGGUGCUCCAUCACUUCAUCUUCUGCGACGGCAGCUGGUGGACCUGCUGCUGCUGCUGCUGCUGCUGCUGCUGCUGGUGGUAGUGGUANNNNNNNNNNNNNNNNNNNNNNNNNNNNNNNCCGGAGCUGUGACAGCCACCACCACCAGAACUGUGACAGCCACCACUGCUACCAGAGCUGUGACAGCCACCACUGCCACCACCGGAGCUGUGACAGCCGCCACCGGAGCUGUGACAGCCGCUGCUCUGCCGGGUGUAGCGCUCCUGUGAGUGGCACUGGUCCUUGUCCUGACGGGAGCACAUGGCUGAGUGCUGGGUGUCCUAUGGAGAGAGGGGCUGUCAGGACAUCCUGCUUCUGCCUUGCCAAGGAAAAGGAAUCUGGAAGUUACAUUUAUGCGCUCCUCCCAGCUCCCACAGCCACUAAACCUCAGAAUCACAGAGCCAUACAAUGCCGGGGUUGGAAAAGACCUCCACGAUCCUCAGGACCAUCAGCCUGCCCUACUGAGUGUGGUCACUGAGCCUCUCUGUUAGCACAUCACCAAUCUGCAGAGCAACUCCCAGCACCUUUCCCCUUCUCCGCACUCUGCUCUCCUGCAGCAUCCCCCUUCCCAAGCCCUGUGCUCCCUCCUCACCCCAUCUCCCCAUUAGGAGAACCCACAGUGCAGCCCAGGGAUGCUGCAGGGCUCAGCCUUCUCCCAGCCCUUCUACCUCCAUAGAGGUUUGGGUGCUGCCCUGAGCUCUGCAGCACCACUGCUCUUACCGCGCUUCUCUGCAGUGAAGGGACGCGGAGAUGAUGAGGCUCUCUGGGACCACAGUGCUUUUAUACCUUUUACCCACUCCGGAAGUGGAACACCUCCCCAUUGCAGAACUCUAUCUGCUUAUUUCAUUCAUCAAAGUUUUUUUUUUUUACUUGCCUCCCCACUCUUUGGGUUGCUGUAUGACUCACCGUGGCUGCGCUGGGCAUCGCCUCUCCGCGUUGGUUCGUUCCUGUGCUGCAAAGAUGUUUAAUUGCCAACCCUCCCCGUGCUGAGCCCCACUGGGGAGUGUGGGUGGCCCUGAUUUCCACAACGUGUUUUGGUGUUCACUGCAGCAG